GAUUAUGGCUCAGGAUGAACGCUGGCGGCGCGCCUAACACAUGCAAGUCGAACGGUUAAAGCCCCUUCGGGGGUGCAUAAAGUGGCGAACGGCUGAGUAACACGUGGGCAACCUGCCCCCCGCUUCGGGAUAGCCUCGGGAAACCGUGGGUAAUACCGGAUACUCCGCCCACCCCGCAUGGGGAGGGCGGGAAAGCGCAGUACGGCGGGGAUGGGCCCGCGGCCUGUUAGCUCGUUGGCGGGGUAACGGCCCACCAAGGCUAUUAUGGGUAGCCGGGUUGAGAGACCGACCGGCCAGAUUGGGACUGAGACACGGCCCAGACUCCUACGGGAGGCAGCAGUGGGGAAUCUUGCACAAAGGGCGAAAGCCUGAUGCAAGCGACGCCGCGUGCGGGAUGAAGGCCCUCGGGUUGUAAACCGCUUUCAGCAGGGACGAGGCGCAAGUGACGGUACCUGCAGAAGAAGCCCCGGCUAACUACGUGCCAGCCGCUGC
rnacentral:rRNA from 1 species